GGAGGCGGGGCGCCUGUGGGAGUCGUGGAGGGAACUUUCCCAGGCCCCGAGGCGGAUCGGGUAUUGAGUCCAUGGAGCGAGCUGAGAGCUAGAGAUCUAAAGCUUAAGGACUAUGGAGUGGAUCUCAUUGAAGUUUCAGACAAUGGAUGUGGGGUAGAAGAAGAAAACUUUGAAGGCUUAACGAUGUCACCAUUUCUACCUGCCACGCAUCGGCGAAGGUUGGGACUCGACUGGUGUUUGAUCACGAUGGGAAAAUCAUCCAGAAAACCCCCUACCCCCACCCCAGAGGGACCACAGUCAGCGUGAAGCAGUUAUUUUCUACACUACCUGUGCACCAUAAGGAAUUUCAAAGGAAUAUUAAGAAGACGUGCCUGUUUCCCCUUCGCCUUCUGCCGUGAUUGUCAGUUUCCUGAGGCCUCCCCAGCCAUGCUUCCUGUACAGCCUGCAGAACUGUGAUCUCAGCCCUCCUCCAGGCUUCGAUUAUAACUUACAGGAUUGUGAUUCACACAUUUCAGUUUCCACCACAGGCCCCUCCAGACAUGUCCAUCUGCCUGCUGUGUUGACUUUUCCCUUUGGAGUCUUGAGGCAGCUACAAGCUUACUGACCAGAAAUGAACUCAAGCUCUCCCCGAAGCCUGGUCCUCUUCCAGGAUCAGCCAGCCUGGAAGAUGGCACUGUCAUCCACCCUGUUCUCAGGCCUGCCACCCAGGAGUCAACCUUAGCCCCAUCUAAUUGUCAGAGGCAUCUGAACCACAGCAACUCCAUCUUGAGUAGGGGAUGGGUAAAAUGAGGCUGAGACCUGCUGGGCUGCAUUCCCAGACAGCCAAGGCAUUAGCCACAGGAUAAGAUAGGCGGUCGGUACAAGACACAGGUCAUAAAGACCUUGCUGAUAAAACAGUUGGCAGUAAAGAAGCCAGCCAAAACCCACUAAAACCAAGAUGGCAACGAGAGUGACCUCUGGUCGUCCUCACUGCUACCCUCCCACCAGCACCAUGACAGUUUACAAAUGCCAUGGCAAUGUCAGAAAGUUACCCUAUAGGGUCUAAAAAGGGGAGGCAUGAAUAAUCUACCCCUUGUUUAGCAUAUCAUCAAGAAAUAACCAUAAAAAUAGGCAACCAGCAGCCCUCAGGGAUGCUCUGUCUAUGGAGUAGCCAUUCUUUUGUUCCUUUACUCUCUUAAUAAACUUGUUUUCACUUUA
ensembl:lncRNA PMS2P4 PMS1 homolog 2, mismatch repair system component pseudogene 4